rnacentral:rRNA from 1 species
AUACGUAGGUGGCAAGCGUUGUCCGGAAUUAUUGGGCGUAAAGCGCGCGCAGGCGGUCCUUUAAGUCUGAUGUGAAAGCCCACGGCUCAACCGUGGAGGGUCAUUGGAAACUGGGGGACUUGAGUGCGGAAGAGGGGAGCGGAAUUCCACGUGUAGCGGUGAAAUGCGUAGAGAUGUGGAGGAACACCAGUGGCGAAGGCGGCUCUCUGGUCUGUAACUGACGCUGAGGCGCGAAAGCGUGGGGAGCAAACAGGAUUAGAUACCCUGGUAGUCCACGCCGUAAACGAUGAGUGCUAAGUGUUAGAGGGGUUAAUCCCUUUAGUGCUGUAGCUAACGCAUUAAGCACUCCGCCUGGGGAGUACGCUCGCAAGAGUGAA